rnacentral:rRNA from 1 species
UACAGAGGGUGCAAGCGUUGUCCGGAAUCACUGGGCGUAAAGGGCGCGUAGGCGGCUCAUGAAGCUGUGGCGAAAGUCCGGGGCUCAACCCCGGAUCUGCCGUGCCGACUGUCAGACUCGAGGACUGUAGAGGCAGGCGGAAUUCCUGGUGUAGCGGUGAAAUGCGCAGAUAUCAGGAGGAACACCGGUGGCGAAGGCGGGUCUCUGGGCCGUAACUGACGCUGAGGAGCGAAAGCAUGGGGAGCGAACAGG